AGCGAACGCUGGCGGCAGGCUUAACACAUGCAAGUCGAGCGGGCACUUCGGUGUCAGCGGCAGACGGGUGAGUAACACGUGGGAACGUACCCUUUGGUUCGGAAUAACGCUGGGAAACUAGCGCUAAUACCGGAUACGCCCUUUUGGGGAAAGGCUUGCUGCCGAAGGAUCGGCCCGCGUCUGAUUAGCUAGUUGGUGGGGUAAUGGCCUACCAAGGCGACGAUCAGUAGCUGGUCUGAGAGGAUGAUCAGCCACACUGGGACUGAGACACGGCCCAGACUCCUACGGGAGGCAGCAGUGGGGAAUAUUGAACAAUGGGCGCAAGCCUGAUCCAGCCAUGCCGCGUGAGUGAUGAAGGCCUUAGGGUUGUAAAGCUCUUUUGUCCGGGACGAUAAUGACGGUACCGGAAGAAUAAGCCCCGGCUAACUUCGUG
rnacentral:rRNA from 1 species